rnacentral:lncRNA from 1 species
GUGGAGGGCGAUGAGCGAACGACCCGGGACUUGUCUGAAUGGGACCCCAGCAAGGCACACGUGGUCUUCAAUGCGAUGGGCGCUUCCAGGGGACCCGGCGUCCCUUGGGUCCAGGAAGUCUUAUACUGUCUCCUCUCACGGCCCCGACAGAAACGGUUUCUGAGGAGUAGAAGUGUCCUAAGUGGAUUGGAAAUUACAAAUGCCGGAAAGAACCUAGGGAUGGAAAGCAGCCCUCAGUCUCCUCUGCGGUAGCUCCUCUGAUGAUGGACAAAGAAGGAGAGGCGAAAGGCCAUGAUCAGGGAAGCCUACAGUCUUCUUCCUCACUGCCCAUUGCUGUAGUUUAUGCAGCUACAUGAUGCUUGUUAAGGAAGCUCCCUAGACACCAGUGUCCCAUUGAGAUUUGGCCACGUAUUCUGCAGACCCCACCCCACCCCCCAUGCCGACUAUGUUGCCACAUUUCUCUACCGUACUCAUUUCUUUGCCCCAAUGUCUAUCCGUUCUGACAAGAUUAAAGACAUCAAUCUCAUGUUCCCGUGGCCUGCUCUCAGGUGUGCAGGCACAAACAGGCUCUA